rnacentral:lncRNA from 1 species
UAAGAGAAGGUGUUUCCGAUGCCCAAUAAUUCGUCUUCCAGGAGGAAAGGGAGAAAAACAAAAAAGGGAGGAAACAACAAUGUAAAAAGAAAAAAUGGCACAGCCAAAUAUUGAUAAUAAGGGAAAACAAGAUACUCAACAGGAGCCAUAUAUAUAUAUAUUCCUGUAAGCUUUUUAUUCCAUUGUUCAGAUCAUCCUCGGACUAUUGCUUCAUGCUGUAGGGAAAGAAAAGAAACUCAACUUGCAAUUCAUACAUUC